AUAAUAAUAAUAAUAAUAAUAAUAAUAAUAAUAAUAAUAAUAAUAAUAAUAAUAAUAAUAAUAAUAAUAAUAAUAAUAAUAAAAUAUCAUAUGGGAGAUACUGAAAUUGAAGAAGGGAACUAUGAAAAAGACCUAGGAGUUUAUGUUGACUCAGAAAUGUCUUCAUCUAGACAAUGUGGGGAAGCUAUAAAAAAAAAAAAAAAAAAAAAAAAAAAAAAAAAAAAAAAAAAAAAAAAAAAAAAAAAAAAAAAAAAAAAAAAAAAAAAAAAAAAAAAAAAAAAAAAAAAAAAAAAAAAAAAAAAAAAAAAAAAAAAAAAAAAAAAAAAAAAAAAAAAAAAAAAAAAAAAAAAAAAAAAAAAAAAAAAAAAAAAAAAAAAAAAAAAAAAAAAAAAAAAAAAAAAAAAAAAAAAAAAAAAAAAAAAAAAAAAAAAAAAAAAAAAAAAAAAAAAAAAAAAAAAAAAAAAAAAAAAAAAAAAAAAAAAAAAAAAAAAAAAAAAAAAAAAAAAAAAAAAAAAAAAAAAAAAAAAAAAAAAAAAAAAAAAAAAAAAAAAAAAAAAAAAAAAAAAAAAAAAAAAAAAAAAAAAAAAAAAAAAAAAAAAAAAAAAAAAAAAAAAAAAAAAAAAAAAAAAAAAAAAAAAAAAAAAAAAAAAAAAAAAAAAAAAAAAAAAAAAAAAAAAAAAAAAAAAAAAAAAAAAAAAAAAAAAAAAAAAAAAAAAAAAAAAAAAAAAAAAAAAAAAAAAAAAAAAAAAAAAAAAAAAAAAAAAAAAAAAAAAAAAAAAAAAAAAAAAAAAAAAAAAAAAAAAAAAAAAAAAAAAAAAAAAAAAAAAAAAAAAAAAAAAAAAAAAAAAAAAAAAAAAAAAAAAAAAAAAAAAAAAAAAAAAAAAAAAAAAAAAAAAAAAAAAAAAAAAAAAAAAAAAAAAAAAAAAAAAAAAAAAAAAAAAAAAAAAAAAAAAAAAAAAAAAAAAAAAAAAAAAAAAAAAAAAAAAAAAAAAAAAAAAAAAAAAAAAAAAAAAAAAAAAAAAAAAAAAAAAAAAAAAAAAAAAAAAAAAAAAAAAAAAAAAAAAAAAAAAAAAAAAAAAAAAAAAAAAAAAAAAAAAAAAAAAAAAAAAAAAAAAAAAAAAAAAAAAAAAAAAAAAAAAAAAAAAAAAAAAAAAAAAAAAAAAAAAAAAAAAAAAAAAAAAAAAAAAAAAAAAAAAAAAAAAAAAAAAAAAAAAAAAAAAAAAAAAAAAAAAAAAAAAAAAAAAAAAAAAAAAAAAAAAAAAAAAAAAAAAAAAAAAAAUAGCAAAUAUAUUAAAUGAUUA
rnacentral:lncRNA from 1 species